rnacentral:lncRNA from 1 species
CAGCCUCUUUCCUAGAGAAGGAGGUACUUCUAUGCCUGGGACACACUUGCCUAUGUUGAUUCAGAAGUUCCUGCCUGAGCAGGAGUCAGAGCGAAGAGCUGAAAAGGGACCCAGAGUCUUAACUUAGAAUUCUGCUACCUGGAACAAAUUUCGUUGAGAAGAGCAGGGGAUGGAGAAAUGGAAGAUACAAAGAUUCCGGGUCAUCUCAAGAUUCACAUAUACUACCACCACUAGUGAUGUUGGGCAUCCUGUGUUGUUUACACCCCCCACACUCACUCCAGUCAUGCCAGGCAGUGCACCAGAAGUCUGCCCUAGUCAUGUGGAAUUGCAUAGACUUGGUGAAGGGGAAGUAGGGUCCAGGAAGCAAGGCAUGAUGGUGAAUGAACCUUCAGGAGUGAAUAGUGCUUUUUGACAUCAAACAUCAGCCGUGUAUUUGACUACAUGACCUCCAAGUUUCCUCCCAGUUCUUUGAGCUCCUCCCAUUCAUGUGGCCAGAUCGAAUCAGGGCAGAAAAACUCUGCUUACCUGAGGCAUCAGGUAAGUCCCAGUGUGCUCUCGCCCCUUUUUGAGGGGGGAAUGG